CCUACGGGGGGCUGCAGUAAGGAAUAUUGGUCAAUGGACGAAAGUCUGAACCAGCCAUCCCGCGUGCAGGAUGAAAGCCCUAUGGGUUGUAAACUGCUUUUAGCAGAGAAGAAAAGCUUUCAUUAAUGAGAGUCUGACGGUAUCUGCAGAAUAAGCACCGGCUAACUCCGUGCCAGCAGCCGCGGUACUACGGAGGGUGCGAGCGUUAUCCGGAUUUACUGGGUUGAAGGCGUACGUAGGCGUCAUUUUUGAAAUCUUGUCGCUUAAAGUUAAAAUUGCCAAGGAUACUGGUACUCUUGAAUUGGGUUGAGGUUAGCGGAAUGUGACAUGUAGCGGUGAAAUGCAUAGAUAUGUCAUGGAACACCAAUUGCGAAGGCAGCUAACUGGGCCUUGAUUGACGCUGAGGCACGAAAGCGUGGGGAGCGAACAGGAUUAGAUACCCUUGUAGUC
rnacentral:rRNA from 1 species